GUAGGCUGCAACUCGCCUACAUGAAGUCGGAAUUGCUAGUAAUCGCGGAUCAGCAUGCCGCGGUGAAUACGUUCCCGGGCCUUGUACACACCGCCCGUCACACCAUGGGAGUCGAUAACACCCGAAGCCUGUAGUCUAACCGCAAGGAGGACGCAGUCGAAGGUGGGAUUGAUGACUGGGGUGAAGUCGUAACAAGGUAUC
rnacentral:rRNA from 1 species